GGGGGUGCAGCCCACUGAUAGAGCCCCUGCCUAGCAUGCACAAGGCCCUGGGUUCGAUCCCCAGCACUGCCA
rnacentral:tRNA from 1 species